GCCCUGGUAGCUCAGAGGAUAGAGCAACUGCCUUCUAAGCAGUGGGUCGUGGGUUCGAUUCCCGCCCGGGGCGCCA
rnacentral:tRNA from 1 species